GACAGAGGGUGCAAACGUUGUUCGGAAUCACUGGGCGUAAAGCGCGUGUAGGCGGCUUCUCAAGUCGGGUGUGAAAUCCCAGGGCUCAACCCUGGAAGUGCAUUCGAAACUGGGUAGCUAGAGUACUGGAGAGGAAGGUGGAAUGCUUGGUGUAGAGGUGAAAUUCGUAGAUAUCAAGCGGAACACCGGUGGCGAAUGCGGCCUUCUGGACAGAUACUGACGCUGAGACGCGAAAGCGUGGGGAGCAAACAGG
rnacentral:rRNA from 1 species